UAAUGUUUAGUUCAGUUCGGUAGAACACGGGUCUCUAAUACCCGAAGUCAUGGAUUCAAAUUCUAUAAUGAUAA
rfam:Populus trichocarpa scaffold_10_contig_130, whole genome shotgun sequence.